UAUGAAUGGCCGCGGUACCCUGACCGUGCUAAGGUAGCGUAAUCAGUUGGCUUUUAAAUGGAGUCAGGAAUGAAUGGGAUAACUGGGUUUAACUGUCUCCUAAUUAAUAUAUUGAAUUUACUGUUCAAGUGAAAAAGCUUGAGGGAGGAAAAAAGACGAGAAGACCCUUAGAAUUUUGUUUAAUAGGAACUUAAAGUAUUGUUUCUUUUGAUUUUGUUGGGGCGACAGAGAAGAAUUUUCAAACCUUCUUUAUUAAAUCAGCCGAUCUUAUUAAGAAAGAAUAAAUUACCUGAGGGAUAACAGCAUAAUUUUAUAGAAGAGUUUGUGACCUCGAUGUUGGACUAGGAAACUGGCAGAUUAGCCAUUUGUCGUGUUGGUUCUGUUCGAACUUUAAUUCCU
rnacentral:rRNA from 1 species